rnacentral:tRNA from 1 species
GCCGAAGUGGUGGAAUCGGUAGACACAAGGGACUUAAAAUCCCUCGGCUGUAUAAGCUGUACGAGUUCAAGUCUCGUCUUCGGCA